rnacentral:rRNA from 1 species
CCUACGGGUGGCAGCAGUAGGGAAUUUUCGGCAAUGGGGGGAACCCUGACCGAGCAACGCCGCGUGAACGAAGAAGUCCUUCGUAAUGUAAAGUUCUUUUAACCGGGAAGAAAGAGAAAUUUGACGGUACCUGAAGAAUAAGCUUCGGCUAACUACGCGCCAGCAGCCGCGGUAACACGGAGGGGGCGAGCGUUAUCCGGAAUUAUUGGGCGAAAUGGGUGGGUAGAUGGCAUAGUAAGUCUUUUGUAAAAAUGCUGGGCGAAGGCCAGUAGGGCAAAAGAUACUGCAAGGCUAGAGUAUGACAGAGGCGAGUGGAAUGAGAUGUGUAGCGGUAAAAUGCGUAGAUAUA